rnacentral:rRNA from 1 species
AUUUACGGCCAUACCACCCUGAACACGCCCGAUCUCGUCUGAUCUCGGAAACUAAGCAGGGUCGGGCCUGGUUAGUACUUGGAUGGGGGACCGCCUGGGAAUACCACGUGUUGUAGGCU